UACGGAGGGUGCGAGCGUUGUCCGGAAUCAUUGGGCGUAAAGGGCGCGUAGGUGGCGGGAUAAGCGUGCGGUGAAAGCUCGGGGCUCAACCCCGAGUCGGCCGUGCGAACUAUUCUGCUUGAGCACUGUAGAGGCAGGCGGAAUUCCGGGUGUAGCGGUGGAAUGCGUAGAGAUCCGGAAGAACCCCGGUGGCGAAGGCGGCCUGCUGGGCAGUAGCUGACACUGAGCGCGACAGCGUGGGGGAGCAAACAGG
rnacentral:rRNA from 1 species